rnacentral:rRNA from 1 species
CCUACGGGAGGCUGCAGUGAGGAAUAUUGGUCAAUGGGCGCGAGCCUGAACCAGCCAAGUCGCGUGAGGGAGGACGGCCCUACGGGUUGUAAACCUCUUUUGCCGGGGAGCAACGGGCGUCACGUGUGGCGCCACUGAGAGUACCCGGAGAAAAAGCAUCGGCUAACUCCGUGCCAGCAGCCGCGGUAAUACGGAGGAUGCGAGCGUUAUCCGGAUUUAUUGGGUUUAAAGGGUGCGUAGGAGGAUCGUUAAGUCAGUGGUCAAAUUGAGGGGCUCAACCCCUUCCCGCCAUUGAAACUGGCGCUCGUGAUUGGAAGAGAAGUAUGCGGAAUGCGUGGUGUAGCGGUGAAAUGCAUAGAUAUCACGCAGAACCUCGAUUGCGAAGGCAGCAUGCCGGCUUCCGACUGACGCUGAAGCACGAAAGCGUGGGGAUCGAACAGGAUUAGAUACCCCUGUAGUC